AUGUUGUGUGGGCGUAAUUGAAAAUUGAGAAUGUGUUGUUGCUUUUUUAAGUUUAUUGAGGAUAAAUAUGAAUGUUGUGUAUGGAGUAUUUUGUACUCCGAUGAAUAUUUUGUAUGCUACGAGUUUCUAAAAUUUGUUUGCAUGCAUUUUCUUAAAUUUGUUAGCAUGAAUUUUGUUAAACAUGUUUGCAUUUUGGAAUACUAAUGUUAAAACAUGACAUAGUUUUGUCGACAUCCACACUCCU
rnacentral:lncRNA from 1 species